rnacentral:lncRNA from 1 species
CGGCUCCAGGCUUGGACGAAGCGACGGGUGAAGAGGGAGCGUGAGUUCUGAGGAUGACUUUGGUUAGAUCUCUUGCGGGAGAUUUGUUUUUUUUUUUUUUUAUGUUUGAUGUUUCGGCCUUAAAUGGCCUCAUUUCGUGUUUCGGGACUGGCCGUAUGUGGCUUUGAAUCCCUGCCGCUCUGCGGCUUUCUUUUUAUGACAAGAUGAUCGAGUUGCAUUUUUCAUAAGUUUACGUAUGGCGUGGAAGAAGGGUG